GGCGCUUGCGAUCAUGGAGGCAGCAGUCCAUGGCCGUCGGCCCCUGUGCACCAGCGCGGUCGUCUUCGGGCGACCCGAAGUCGUCGACUAAACACUCAUGGAGUUACGGCUCCACAGCCCCGCCGGCGCUGAGCCGGCGGUCUACCCCUGGCCACUUUCCACCUCGGACAAGCAUGACGGUGCCAUUGAAAUUGUCGAGACGAUUCGAUGGGUCUGCGAGGACUUUCCAGAGCUCAAGGCUGCCAUGGAAAACCAUGUCCUCAAUGACUAUGACACCAAAAGCUAUGAGAGCAUGCGGACCCUUUGCGACAAGUACAACAGAGCAAUCGACAGUUUCUUGCAACUCUGGAAGGGCACAUCACUUCCCGAGCGGCUGCACACGCGACCGUCGACGGCACUGCUGCGGCACAUCCUCCAGCAGGUGUAUAACACGGCCAUCACUGAUCCCGAGAGGCUCAACUCUUACGAGCCCUUCUCUCCCGAGGUGUACGGCGAGACGUCCUUUGAGUUUGUGGCGCAGAUGAUCAACGAGCUCGAGUUCACGCCCGACGAUGUCUUCAUUGACCUGGGCAGCGGAGUGGGACAGGUGGUUCUCCAGGUGGCUUCCUCAACGCCUUGCAAAAUGUGCAUCGGCAUUGAGAAGGCCGAGGUGCCAUCGCGGUAUGCGCAGUCGAUGGACGCCCACUUCCAGUUCUGGAUGCGCUGGUACGGCAAGACCCACGGGGACUACCGGCUCAUCAAGGGCGACUUCCUCCACGAAUCGCAUCGGGAGAUGGUCAUGAAUGCCUCGAUUGUUUUUGUGAACAACUUUGCGUUCGGGCCAACGGUAGACCACAUGCUGAAAGAGAAGUUUGCCGAAUUGAAGGACGGCUCGCGGAUCGUCUCCUCCAAGGCCUUCUGUCCUCUCAACUUCCGUAUCACGGACAGAAACCUCAGCGACAUUGGAACUAUCAUGCACGUCAAGGAGAUCCAGCCUCUGAAGGGCUCGGUCUCUUGGACGGGCAAGCCGGUCUCCUACUACCUCCAUGUCAUAGACCGGACGAAGCUUGAGCAGUAUUUUCAACGCCUCAAGAAUCCUAAGCUGAGGGACGACGAUGCGUCGAGCAAUUCGUCGCGGAGCCGUCGCAGCAACGGCCACAGUGGACACGGGACGCGCUCGGCAAACGGCAGCGUCUGUAACGGCAGCCUGAGCCACGACUCGUCAUCCAACGACUCGAGGGUCGACGAUUGCCUUGUGCUGGGACCCACAACACGCCGGGCCUGGUCCGACUGGUGCAACAAGGGGCCGAUGCCGAGCGGGAAACAGGGCAGCAGUGUGUCGGCUCACAGCAGCGGGCACGAGAGCAACGAUGAGAAUGAGCCUGUAAAGAGGCGACCAAAAGCACCUAGACGAACGCCACGGCGGAAAAAGCCGAGCAGGGUGGACUCCGGGGCAUCGUCGGUUGCAUCGGUUGAGGUGCGCAAGGGACCGGGCCGGCCGAAGAAAUCGCCCCAGCGGAACAACAGGCGCGUUGGGCGCAAGCCAAUGAAAUUCAGCGGCCUCGAUCUCCUGCAUGCCCAGACGGUGCUGAGCACAUCCAGUGCAGCUGCCAUGCACACGGAGCCUGCCCCCGGCUGUGUGGACCAGAAACUCGGAGGCUUGGCGCCGGAAGAAGGAUCGCUCUCUAGCGAGCUGCCGACCGGCUUUCACGAAGUCACCGUGAAGACCGAGCCGCCCACGGAGACGUCCAUGGACAGCAUCGCGGCGGCCGCCAUGACCAACUCCAUGGCCGUGUCGGGCCCGCCGCCGCGACCACUGACGCCGUUGGCCGAGCCGCCCGAGCUGAAGGCGAUGCUGAACGAUUUCCGGGCGCAGUACAUGGCCAUGCUGAACCACAUGCGGACCGAGCAGUACCGGCAGCAGGUCAAGGAGCACAUUGCCAGGGAGAGGGAACGCAACGAGAGGCUAGUGGCCAAAGCGGCGCACUUGGAGCGGCAGAUCAAGCACCUCAUCGAUGACAGCGUGGUCCUGUUGAAGGCGCGCAUGAACGAGCUGGGAGUGCAAAGCCACACGCCCGCCGACCUUAUCAACAGAUGGCGUCUUCAGAGAGCAAGCGCCGACAGCCAUCGCACACUACUUCAGGCAAAGGAAAUUGUGGUGCGCCACAAGGAGUUGCAAGCAAAGGCAGCAACCCUGGAGCGAGAGGUCGUUCACCUGGAGCAGCAGCAGGCGGAACUGCUGGCGAGGCAGGUUCCUAAUGUCAGGGUCCCGCCGCCCCCGAAUCCGGGGGUCACUUCCAACAACCCUCCGGCUUCAUCGACAGGAGUGGACAGCUCCGCCGCCGUCCCCACCAUCACCACCACGGCGGCGGCGGCGGCGGCUGCGGCAGCCACCAAUGGCUUCUUUCUGCCCCCCAACCCUGAGGAGCUGAGCCAGCUGUCGCACGAGCAUAUUCUGCGCGAGAUCAGCAGCACCCUGUCGCAGCGCCGCAAGCUUCACAACAAAGUCCAGAAGCUGGAAGGUGAAGUACAGGAGCUGGAACGCACCCUAGUCUCGCCACCUCCACGGAGGCCGCCCACGCUUGCCUCUCCUUUCACCACAAUGCAGCACUUGCAGCCUCCAUCAGUGCCAAUCUCUCUUGCGGGACCAGUCCCCGACCUUGUCUCUGAGCCUGGUGCGACGCAGCAGCAGGUGGACAGCAAGCCGGACGACUUGUCAAAUCGAGCCGUUCGUACGGCAACAACGCCACCACCACCCAAGCUAGGACCACAGGCCACCACACCCACUUCACCCGCCACCGCAUGGCCGUCCGCUUCCGUUUUGGCAAAAGCGGCUGUUAAGGAGCUGCCGGCACCGACGGAUUCGACUAGCGUUGUUACGGAGCGCGGACCUCCCGGCGGCGGGCCGCCCAGUGUCAUACAAAGUGCUCCGCCAAAGGAGAAAGGUACCAAAGACAAGAUUGCCGCGGCUUCCCUUCCCAAGGUGACAGCGCCAGCGACUUCAACUGCCGAGGAGGCUCCGCCCGAGAGAUUGCGGCCCCCCGUCAUUCGAAGCGGCAUCAAGGACAUCGUCGAUGCGAGCUGCUUCUCGUUGACCUACUCUCCAGCAACGGCUGCCGGGCGAGCUUCGACCGCUCCCACCGAAGCUGCACCGGCUGCCGCGCCGGCGCCCGUGGCAACGAAGACCGCGGACGCGGUGCACACGAGUCGGGACAAGUCCCCAACAAAGUCGAGCCUCCACAAGGCGCCGUUGCCACUGCCGCCACGGACAGCAGCUCCCCCGCCGGAUUCACCAACUCACUGUGCCACCCAGGACGAACUGCCGCCGACGCCGAAGACGCCCGUCGAGGAUUCGUCUGCCGCGAGUAGCGGUGGUGGUGCCGCGCACCUGUCGUCGCGAAAGAGCAGCUCCCCGUCCAAGUCCAAGCAUAGGAAGUCGCCCCGGAAACGGGAUACCAGCCCUCCGCCGCCGCCACCUCCACCGCCUCCGCCACCGCCCCCACCGCCUCUGCCGGCAUCUGCCUCACCAUCUCCACCUCAGCAGGCUAAGAAAAAAGCGGAGCUUGACGAUGCAGCCAUACCCGCGGCAGCGCCACUGUCUAAACCGUCCAAUGGGCUCAUCUUAAACCUGGGCAGCCUUCUGGCUUCGCGGAAUGGCUACAGCCCUAAGCGGGAGGACAGAGCAGCACGAAAGCUCAAGCGAAAGCACUCACCACACAAGCUACGCAGUACAGACGCGACGGCGGAGAGCAUCAAGCCCCCCCUAUUGGGGCUUGGCGACAAGACUGUGUGCAUACGUAUGAAGUCUGAAACGGGAGUGGAUGUCGAAGAGAAGUUCACCAUCAAGGCCGAGGCGCUGUCCCGGAGACCCGAGGGCUCAUCGCACGGCCGCCACCACUGGCAGGCACGUGUGAGCAGCGGCUUCGACAAGCUGGUCGCACUCGCCUCCUCAAACCAGCAGCCCGAGUCGACGCCGGCCACGUCGCGAAAGGAGCCGGUGGCCACUGCCAGCGGGGCCUCGUCGUCCUCCACGUCGUCUUCGUCCUCAUCGUCCUCGUCGGAGCACUGCGAGGCCCCCCGACAGGCAGCUCCGCAGCAGCAGCCGCACAAGAAGUGGGUGGUCGAUAGGGUUCACCGGAAGGACCGCGCAGGGGAAAGCGGCACGCAGCUCGAGAGCCUGUCCAUCAAGAUCAAGGCCGUGAACGCUGGCCCUCCCUCGCCGACGGCCCGCAAGAGGCAUCGGAGCCCGCCGGCUCCUUCCCUCGGCACCUCUUCCUCCAAGAAGGGGAGCGGGGCGACGGUGGCCGGCCGAUCUCCGCUGCCCAGGAGGCGGGGCCCGCGCACCCCGCCGGACACGCCCCCUCGGACUCCAUCUGCCUCCCCCGAGCGGCCCGCCACGCCGCGCACGCCACUGUCGCCCGUGCCUCCCUCGCAUCGUGCCCGCCGCGACGAUGAGCACCCGCACAGCCCCAUCAGCAGCGUGGACAGCCCGUUCAGCCGACGGAGCCGUUCCACAAGCCCGUUGCCCGGCAGCCCCGUCGAAGGGGAUGAUGCCGACGAUGCCGACCGUGCCACACCGCGCAGUGGCACUUCCAGCACCGACGAGCCACCGCGGCCACCACCGGACAACACUGUGUACAACAAGCUUGGGCUCGGCACCCGGGACAUAUCGGUCACCUCCGAGCAGCAGCAGGCUUCCUCGGUUGGCCUGGCUGCCAACAAGGACGGACUCUGGGACUGGGCCAAGGAGCAACCGGCAGGCACGACGACUAUCCCUGGGGCACCAUCGCGCUCGGAGCCUGCAUCGUCGUUCAGCGCCGGAGUGUCGUACACGGCCACCAGCCUCGAUACGUCGUCGCUGCGGUCGCAGGCAGCCCUGAUGCUGGUCACCUCAUCAACUUUGGCCCCGCCCCCGAUGCCGCCCUCACUCACGCCGCAGAUGGCAGCGGCACCUCCGCCGCCGCCUCCGCCACCGCACUGCUCGCUGCCGCCGCCGCUGGUGGCCAAUGUGUCGGUGCCGCCGCCAUUCAACAUGCCUCCUCCCCCGCCCCCUCCGCGCUCGGGACCCGUGUUCAACCCGUCGCAGUUGGUGUUGCCAGACACUUCUAUCCCACCCCCAUUUCUUGGCCCCAAUCCCAUGGCCCCUCCACCGUGCAACUUCACUGUGCCCCCGCCCAACAUACUGGCUGCUGCAGCAACAGGCCACCCUGCUUCCCAGCAUACUGCGGGAACUGAGCCACCGCCUCAGCACAGAUCCCGCCCCCACUUGGCCCCGCCCCCUUACACGGCAGGACCUUACACGCUACCCCUGGAGUCUGCUCAGCGAGUGCCUCAUUACACUUCGCACCCGCCCGGACUGGCACCCCACAAGAUGCCCCAUCCCGGUGAGGCUGCCUCUGCAGUCUGAAUCCCUUUGGCGUCUUUAUUGUGCAAUGCUUGUGCGCUCAGUACAGCUUACUUGCUUGACGCCCCCUUUUACCUGAAGUUUCUUUCAGUUCCAAAGAGGCAAAUCUGGGCCAUGUUCAACUGCUUGAAAUUCGGCCCCAAUCUUUGCAGUUUUAACUCGUGCGACAUCCAAGUUGUGCAAAAUGCAAAGCUUAAACUUGACUGGUGCUGUUUGUGUGGACGCAGUCAUCUGAACAUGCAGCCGUCCACCUUUGGAUCGUGCGAACAAUGUGCUAUGGAAUGGUGUACAUUUAAAUGUGGAGUGCAGUCGACUGAAGUGAAGGGUGUUUUAGGACAAUCAUUUCGUGGACUAGACUGAAAGAAUGCACGCACAGCACUACCUGACUUGACGGCGGCGUCACCGGGGCUCGACCCGAAAGCGGAAACGACGAGAUUCUCAGCAUCGCCAUCGCCACACUGCCACCGCGCUCGUCGACGAAGCAACGACCGUAGAGUCACUGGGACACAGUUUGGUCGAUGCCUGAUUAUUCUGCGCGACACGAUGUGUGUAGACACGUGUUCGAACGUCCUUGUUUUGGUUCCGUCUUUUAAUUUUCUGCGGACCGGCGACCGACGCUGCAAAGCGAAAGAGGCAAUUGGAGUCGUCGUCGUUCGGUUCCUCGGGCUCCGGAUUUCUUCCAGAAGAAGGCGCCACGUCGUUUUUCUGGGUUUUUGAUGGGGAGGGGAAGUGGUCUUUUCGUCUUGUUUUAAACGGGGUGCUGCACAUUUAGGUACUGGCCCAUGGAAACCUCUCGCCUUUAAUCUGUCGUGCUGCAUUCACGAAGAACACUUUCAUGAGGCCUUGUAUUGUGUUGCGUGCUUUCACCUUUUUAAUUAUUUAUUCAGCGUGACCAGUUGAUGCAGAAUAGUUGAGUGCUUUGAGCCAGAGAAUGCAUUGAGCCAUGACUCGCAUAGUCGGCCUCGAAUCUACACAUUGUCAUGCGCCUGAAUUGGAAGUAAGCAGCGCUUUCUUUUGUUGUUGUUGUUCACGCUAGAUAUUCAGGAGUUCAACCUAAUUGUGCAGUUCCCUGGUCAUUUGUGCACCUUGUAUUGCAUGUUUUACAAUUAACAUCGGAGGGUUUCCCGGCAUGGCCAGACAGUGCGAGUUUGUGGACUGCGAAUUGUGUGCGAAAGUCUAAUGGAGUCCCUCAGCUUUGAUGUGUUUACCCAUUCGCGCUGUUCACUGCCGUGCAUCUUCGAUGUGCAUGGAGAACUCUGGUUCCGGGUGCUUGCCCCAGAGCAGCGAGCACGUCGAGGGUUCUGUGUGAUGUGAAAGAUUGUGUGCUCUUUAGAGCUCUGAUGCUAGAAUGCGUAUUACGACUAGUGUAUUUAUGCUCUUUUUGAUUUUGUGAUUGCCUGCUCUACGAAUUGUGUGAAAAGAACUUUGUCUGCAUGUCUGGGCCCUCGGUUUUCGGCCGGAAGAAAAAAAUGACCCUCCAUCGUGCUGUUUGCUUGUUGUAUUUAUUGCGCGUCUGUUUUUUUUUUUACUUGAACAUUUCCCCUCCCCUAACCAAAGCGUGCCACAGACAAGCACUGUAGCUCAUUGAAAACUGUGAACACUGCCACCAUUUAUAAUUUUUUUGUCAUAUUUUUCAUGCAAAACUAGUCAGAAAAGUGAAUCGUAGUGUUCUUCCUCUAGUAGGUUGGUGUCGUUACUUUGUGCUCCUCUUCCUAGCUUUAAUUUCCGUGUAACAACGGAGCAGGAAAAAAAAAACACACCUUGCUUUUUUUUCUUACUUGUUCUGUACGCGUUUUUAAGACAAGCCUUUGGUGCACAGUAGUAGUGCUUUCAAAAACUGGGAGAAAUUCAUGAAAAAUGUAUGCUUUUCUUCUGUUUUCUUAAAAAGCUUGCAGGGCUUACAGUUCAUGCAUGCUUCCAUUCUAGAUUUGAAGAGCAAACUUCGUGCAGGUGCUAUGAAAGCCAAAAAAAAAAAGGACGUCUUGCGUGUUUGCAAAUGCAUUCUUCGUAACGCUUGGAGAACAUGAGACCAAAAAGAGAGGAGUGAGCCAUUGAGACCAAAAUGUGUUCAUUUGCCCGACUGCUGGUUAGUCUCCUCAGGACUUUGCCAUCAGCCGUUUGUUGGUUGCGGUCUUCCUUGACUGUCAGGCCAGUGCACCUUUUUCUUUAGUUGUGGGACUUAAUUAUUUAAAGUUGCAUAGACAGAGAAUGUUGCCUCCAGACAGUGUUCCUUCUUUCGUUAUGGAGAUGAAAGCGUUUUUGCUUUGCACAUUCACAAUUUGCAUUCUCAUGCGGGGCAUAUUUGGGCACUCUGCUGCCUCCUGUUUGCUGGAAAGUGGCAGAGUUGAAAGUUUCAGAAAUGGUUUUGUGUUUUUGCAGAAGCUCCAAGCAAUAUCUAAGCACUGCUUUUAAUGUCGCUGGAGGCCAGUUGUUGCACCUCGUGCUUGUCUGUUUCAACUGACAUUUCUAUGAAGGCAGUGUAAAGGUGCGUGACACUGCUUGAGAGCACAACACGCAUGACGGCUUGAGAGCAUUUUGGUAUGGCUACAGUUUUCACUAAAGCCACAAUUCAACGUAGUGUACCAAGAUUCUGACCUCUCGAGUCACCCACUAGUUGUCGUUCGGCAACAACGCUUAGAAAACUGCGCCUUUUGGCUGAUUUUCGCAUAGCGAAUCUUGAAAACUAGUACUGGGCUUCAGUGUCAGUGUUGGGUCAGUAUCAAAAUGUGUUAAGGGCCACUAGCUAUGUGUUAGAGAAAAAUGCAAUUUGCAAAUUUCAGUUAACGUUCCGCUGGUAUGGCACCACUUAGCCAAGGUGUGGCGAAGCCUCGGCUGUUCUGCCUGCUCAUUACGAAGAAUCCACUUUUCCUUCAUCACGGUGCACGAUAGCUCCAAAGAGAAUGGAUGGUACGAUACACCAAAAACUGAAAUGUCAGCCCCUUGGCCCUGCUCGGAGAAACCUGUUGCGAUCUAGGCAGCCGGUGCAUUUGAACAUUUGUCGCGACACUCACUACGUUUAUCAUCUUUGCCAGCUGUUUUCUAUGCUCAGCUGCAAAUUUAUACAUUUUGACGCCGUACGUGUCUUGGCUUGCAUUUUUCUUGUCGUUUCGUGUGCGAAAUGUCUUCUCCAGCCUACUGCCUUCGUUGACAAGCCCGCUUCCUCGUAUUUGUUACAAGUUUUUCCUCUCCAACCUUGCUUUUCCUCCUCGUAUCAUUCCGUGCUGCUUGGCCAGCAGUUAAUUUUAGAAGCAAGAAGCAAUCACUGCCAGUGUUUGCAUACGAGAACGGCGUGUGCCAUUGGUUCUCCCAACAGCCUUCCAUUGCGCACUCCAAGGUGUGGAUUGUGGACUGAAAGACCCUCUUCAAGAAGAUCCCACUCCCAUUUGUUUCAAGUGCUCUGUUUUUUCUAUUCUGCAUUGCCAAGCAAGGGACACUCGUCUCUGCGGCACAUUACAAUGCGGCUACAUGUUUUGCCGGUGCCCUUCUUUUUCCCCCCGUUGUGUGCUGCUGCGAAAGGCCUCACUUCACCGCAAAUCCUCUCUGCCUGGAUUUGUUGCGCGUGACACCCCGCCAUGUGUACCUGUGCCAGAACGUUUGAACUUUUUCCGAGAGUCUGCCUUUUAUACUGGGAAGAAAUAGCGCGGGGUUUCUUUCGUUUUUACACUAGCGUUUGCUCUCUGUAAAGCACUUAUGAGAGGAUGUGCAUGUGUGUGCGUGUGCACAUAACUUGAAUCUGCUGCUUGUUGAACACAUGUGCCCUCUUGACAUUGUGCAAGCUGCUUCCCUCGCUGGUCAGGGUUUGUUCUCGUAGCCGCAUUCUGUUAUGUUGACAGCUUCCUCCGGUGUUUUUGUUUUCUUUCUUUCGUCUAAUCCGUGAAUGUUUUUGUCGGGGGCGCGACCAGCGUCUAGCCGACGAUCCCGCAAACGCAGACACACCUGAGAAUGAACACUGCCACUCAAUGCAUAGCUUGUAAAUUGUCUCUUUGUGCCACAGUGUUGUAAACAUUUGUUCUAUGUGCGUGUGUGUUUUAGAGUCUGUUGUUUUGGGUGAAGGAGUUGCAUGAAAGUGCUGCUGUGCAGGAGGCUAUAAUGGGGCACUGACAGCAAUGUGAGAUGAGCUUGCAAGCUUCAAUUCCAUUGCUCCACGUUGGUGAAGUGGGGCGCGUUUGCGUAACCGUGCGCAUGUGUACGUGUUGUGUGUGCACAAGUAUUGACUUGGCUGUGUUGGCAAUCUUUUCCUGUUGCCGUGUACACACACCACCGUUGUCUUAGUGUGAAUAGCUGUAGUGCUAUGUUUUUUUCCCUGCUUUCAUUGCAGUUUUGGUGAUGGAAUGAGACAAGAAGGCACAGUAUUGUAAAUAAUGUUUCUAGUACUGCGAGAGAACUGAGCAGGGAUCGAGUCCCACUUUCUUUUUGAUGAGCGGUAAAUGAUGUGUUGGGAAAGAAGCUUGUGUAUGUACACGUUUUCUUCUCCUUAUCUUUGAGGUAUGCCCGUAGUUCAAAAAUUGUACGCUCCGUCUUGGAAUGGCCGCUGAGUAGUUAGGCGUGAGUAAGCUUGCCCGCUAGACUCGUGUUUCCGGUAGCCUCAGUGUAGGAACAACGCGCGUGUGCUUACGGAUGAUGUAGAGAACCCAUUUAUGAGGAGCAAGCAGGCUUGGCCACCGCACGACAUGUCUCAUUGUGUGUGAUUCGCAGUGACCUACAGUUCGAAGAGGUAGUUGGAGCUUCAGCUUAGUAAUGUGUGUGCUGUUCUUGUUUGAGUCUUAUAUGCGACGCCUGGCAUCUCGUGUGAUUCCUUCUGCUAUCUCAGAGUUUUACGAAGCCUGCAUUGUCUGAAUGGCUUUUGAGUUCGCAGUAGGUGAUUGGCCAUCAUAUUUUCAUGUAUCUAUCUACUGUACUGGUUUCUGAAGGCUGUGUACUUGGUGUAUAGUGUGCUGCCUUGGGUGUCGAAGACUGAUGUGGCAUGAAUUCAGUGCAGUGCACUGAAGGGCUGGAAGAGUUGAUGCUUGGCUAGGGAGGAAAAAGGUUCACCCACAAGCGCUGCCUCUUUUGCUAACGACAUGCUCGUUCUUCAGUGCUGUACCACAUUCACAAACUUCAACUGAACUGCUACGAGAUUGAAUGCUGACAGCAAGAAAGGUGCAGACUCUAGCAACAGAAAACUUAAACAGGCUUGUGUCAUACAGCUGCAGUGGCAGCUAAUGAGGAUGGGCAACGGGAUGCUUUGUUAAAUUAUUAACACAUUAUUCACCUUUAAAGUUGCCAUGUUUAAGGCAGAAAGGAGUGAGCUUGAUGGAAUGUUCGUGGCAGUAGUACGGGAGGUUAGCUAUCUUUAGAGUAUAAAUUAUGGCAUGUGUAAACAAUAAUUGCGCACACAUGCUGUACAUUGUCUAUUAGUUAAUGCAUCAAUUUUUUUUAGUCAACUCACGUUUAUAGCCUCUCUAGUCUACUGGUGAAGUGAGCAAAUUCGGGAAACAUAAUAUCGUGUUGAUUGGUUGACGUAUUAAGAAAGCUCGUGCUCUUUUCUUGUAUAGUUAAUGAGUUUGCUUGCCUUGUUAGGUAUGCUUUCCCAGUGCUAUGGUCAGAGUGGCAAAGUCUAGAAUACCACUUAAGCUGUUGCCUAGAAAUAAAGCAUAUAAAUAACUUAGAUACCAUGAGUUUUGAUGGACGAGUGCAAGGGGCUCUCUCAUUGCAACACAAUGUGGCGAGAAAGCCACUGCUCAAGCAUCAAUCGACACAGGAGCAGUAGACUCCUAAACCAUCGCAGCACACUACACUCUGCGAGCUGUGCAUUACAGCGAUGGCUGUGGGUUGUGCCAAGCAGCCUGGAGGUUAACCCCCGGUGAUUUCCUUCUACGCGGUGCCAGUAGGAACUUCGUAGAAGGAUCAGUGACAAAAAUGACAAGUCCUUCACUCCCCUCUGGUAGAGUCAACUGAUUCUCUGGUUGGCUGCCACAACCCAUCGCCUUUGCUGCACUGGGCUAAGUUGGCGAGAUUGGGUACACCAAAGUUUAGUCGAGAUUAUGUAUAGGUGAAACAACGCAAAGGGGCAAAAGACACUGUCUCCUUAUUUUGCAACAAGAUGGCCGUACAGGCAUGGGGCGCUUUCCCAACUCUGAUCUGUUGAGAGAAUCACGCGAGAUGCCCAGAGUUCUGCUAGAAGCAUACUGGAGUAGACGUGUAAUUGCAGGGAGGAACGAGAGCAGUGUGGGUGCAACUUUGCCGACAGGCUUUUGAUGGGGCCUCCUGUAAGAUCAUCUGAGCCCGCCAGAGCGCCGCGUGUGCGUCAUUUCUGACGGGCUCUCAGUCAGGGCAAGUCUGUAGAAUCAUCCAAGCCUGCCAGACCGGAAAUGCGUGCAGUGUGUUAUACGUGGUGGUAUUUGAGCGUUUGUUGGCGGUGAUCUGCCGGGAGUGUUGUUGUAAAUGGGUGUUGUGAGCACAGUCCCCCAUCUGAGCUGCGGCGAAAAGGACUUUGUGCGUUCUGGGCAUUCUUACCGGGCGUCGCUCAUUGAAGCACGCCGGUUUUUCAGUUUUCUUCUUGUCAUGCCUGCUCUUCAGCACGUUUUCAAGCUUGUUCACUCUUUCUUUCCCUGUGUACAGACACUGUUUUUGUUGGGCAUUUUCUUUUUUGAAGCACUACCUUUUCUGUCUUUUUCUCGUGCGGUUUACGUGGCUUGUACUGUGGAUGACGGGUCUGUUGCUGGCACUGUACGCAAAUGCACUAUGCUCUCGUUUGCAAAGCGGUUCUGUGGGGAGGGACUCUUUCCUCGUAUGAUGUGUAUUUGCUUAGCGUGAGAAAGCUUGGGAGCAUUGCGAUUGAUUUGUGUUAUUGGCAUUUUUUUUGCGUAACCGAGCAUGUAUCAUCAGUGCGGCUUCGUCUCAUUGUAGCCUCAGUUCCAGACGAAUGAUGGCGGUGACGUACACAGCACUCAGUUGCAGAAGCCCCUCCCCUUUCUUGCACGGACGAGCGUCAGCAAAAAUCGGUGACGGCUCUUACCAAAAACCACGGAAGCGCGAAAGAAAGGAUCACACAUUUCUUUCCCACUGCCCGAGAGUUCUUGCGCCUGCGAUACGAGGCCAACUUAAUUUUGUUUUACAUCGACCUUCAGCAGCCCAUGCAGCUCGAAGAAACUGAAAUGUACCUGCAUCCAAAUUGUCCACUGCGGUGUGGCUCUGGUGUGUCAACCAUUCUUUACUGCCAGAACUGCAACGCCUUGAAUCUGGUGUUGACUUGUUUGAUUGGUCUGAAUUGUGAGACUCGCGAAUGAGUCCUUGAGAGCGGGGUGCUUGGAUAGCCAAAGUUUGUAUUGGGGCUCUGCCUCUUUGCCUGUUGCGUUCAGUGGUCAAUGUCGCGUCGUUCAUUCAAAAGCGUACCUGAGUUCUAGAAGCUGCCAAGCGUCUCAUCGCUGCGCUGUUACCUGCUUACACCACUUACCACAUUAACCAUCGAUGUGUUUGUUUUACAAGGCAUCAGCAUUUUCAUUAUGUGCUGUCGUAAUGAUUGCACAUUCAUGCUGCCUGCUUAUCAACCAUCUUAAUUUAUUCUGUUCAGCGUGACAGCCAAAGCAUACGACUCCAUCAACACGCAUGCCUGCCUGUAUAUCAGUUUUUUUCAGCUCCACUUGCUAUUGCGUUGAUAACAUAUUGCCCUUAGCUAAAAUGACUAUGAUACCUACCGCAGGAAGUUUAGUGCAUGCCUAAAUAAAUCAUUAAUGCAUUACAUGGUGUGCCAGACAGAUGUGGGCUCAGCGAGGUAGUUACGGUAGUCUCGCAUCAGAGAAGUGAAUUUUACUGGAGCCUGCAGUGCAAAGCACAAAACGAAAUUUUUAAGAGCCGCACUACAAGGCAUAUUCUACGUCGCUGUAUAACUUCUCCAUUAAAAAAAAAAUUCAGGAGUACAGGCGAGGUAUAUGUUAACCAAUACGUUUCGUCACACACUGCCCCUUUUUGUGCCGUUUGUAUUUAUUUAGUCCUUACCUGUAACACAUCAUCAAGCCAUACCGUAGUGGGCAUAGUUGCUGCUUGAGCUGCUGAAGGUCACUCGCACAGCACGUCUAACAACUCUUUUUGAGUGUUUUGUUUUUCUGCACGAGACAAUACACUGCUGUGUUCGAAACAUUCUAUCAUGCCAUGACAGGUGGAUCUUAACGGAUUUGGGAGAAUGAUCGACUCUUUCUUGCAAGUGGGAGAGAUUUAAUAUAAGGAUGGUAGUAUGACGGGUUUACAGAUCUUUUUCCUUCACCCAUCUUUGUCUUGUUCCUUCCUUUCUUUCUUUUUCUCUAGUGUAUUUUUAGACAGAGCACUGAAACUGUUGCAUGUUAACCAGUUUGUUGUUGAAGCUGUGUUUUUCAUUUUUAGAGAUAUUUAUAAGCAUGUACAGGAAGCACACACACUCUACGACUACUGCCGAAAGAAAAUCAUUUGUACUAUACCUCGAAAGUGUCUAUUGUAACAAAUGGGAAAAGAAAAAGAAAUCCACACUUCCAACUGUAUCAUUUGGAAUUAAAAACACCCCUCUUUUUCGCAAA